rnacentral:rRNA from 1 species
GAUGAACGCUGACAGAAUGCUUAACACAUGCAAGUCAACUUGAACUUCGGUUUGGGUGGCGGACGGGUGAGUAACGCGUAAGAACUUGCCUCACAGAUAGGGACAACAUUUGGAAACGAAUGCUAAUACCUGAUAUUAUGAUUAUAUGGCAUCGUAUAAUUAUGAAAGCUAUAUGCGCUGUGAGAGAGCUUUGCGUCCCAUUAGCUAGUUGGAGAGGUAACGGCUCACCAAGGCGAUGAUGGGUAGCCGGCCUGAGAGGGUGAUCGGCCACAAGGGGACUGAGACACGGCCCUUACUCCUACGGGAGGCAGCAGUGGGGAAUAUUGGACAAUGGACCAAGAGUCUGAUCCAGCAAUUCUGUGUGCACGAUGAAGUUUUUCGGAAUGUAAAGUGCUUUCAGUUGGGAAGAAAAAAAUGACGGUACCAACAGAAGAAGUGACGGCUAAAUACGUG